rnacentral:lncRNA from 1 species
GGAUCUGAAGAAAUCUUGCAAGCUGAAGCCUGACAGUUUGGUGCAAACCUCUGAGGGCUCACCACUUCAGUAGAACAUGCAUGGUUCAGGUGGUUUUACAGGAACAACACUAACAAAGUCCUCUGGAGACCCUUUCUUGGAUCCCGCUCCACCUUCUCAGGAGGUUUAUGAUCACCUCGGAGUUGUUCAGCAAUGAGACAUUUGCCUUGAACAAAAAGGAGGCUAACUACAGAGGACCACCCUGCCCUUGCAUAUUCCAAGACAGACUCAUCUCCAUCCUUGCGCGUGACUCCCAAGACAGACUCAUCUCCAUCCUUGCGCGUGACUCCCGUAGGACUCGCAGAUGGCUCCCUUAGAGACCUGCUUGCAUAAAACCCUCGGUCCCCUUCCUUUUCUUUGAGGAAGUUCUCAUUAACGAUCAUUCUCCUUAUAAUAGCCUGAAUAAAAUCAUAUAUUUAA